GGUGCAGGAGCUCAAAGGUUAGAGUACCGGCCCUGCAAACUGGGGGCAGUGGGUUCAAACCUCACCCGGGCCU
rnacentral:tRNA from 1 species